ensembl:Mt_tRNA
CAAAGUGUAGCUUAAAUUAAAGCAUCCGGCUUACACCCGGAAGAUUUCAGCCACCAUUGACCACUUUGA